CAGCAGCCGCGGUAAGACGAACCGUGCAAACGUUACUCGGAAUCACUGGGCUUAAAGCGCACGUAGGCGGCGACAUAAGUUAGAGGUGAAAUCCCAUCGGCUCAACCGUGGAACUGCCUCUAAUACUGUGUUGCUUGAGGGAGAACGGGGCAUUCGGAACUUCCGGUGGAGCGGUGAAACGUGUUGAUAUCGGAAGGAACGCCGGUGGCGAAAGCGGAAUGCUGGGUCUCUUCUGACGCUGAGGUGCGAAAGCUAGGGUAGCGAACGGGAUUAGAUACCCCGGUAGUCCCUGUCUCUUAUA
rnacentral:rRNA from 1 species